CUAGAGUAAUCUAAACAUUUUACAAUAAAACCAUGAUCAAAAGAUAUAUGAGGCAAGUAAAAUGCAUGUAAGACCUUACCUGAGUAUCCACAAGUGAACAAAAUAAAGGGGUGGGACAUUGAAAGAUUUAAAGAAGCCAAUGGGUGGAAAAAUAUUUGCCUCCUGUCUUUAGAUUAUUUAGUCACUGAAGCUAGAAUAAUCCCUAAUUUUAUGGCAAGACAGGAGGCUUCAUAUUUGCUGUUUUAAUGCCUGGAGAGUAAAUGGAAAUAAACGUGAGAUGCAGGUCGGAAAUAUAAGGUACGGAUUGUGGAUUCUCGUGAUCAAUCAGCAGAAGAUAGAAUGUAUGAAAGAGACCUCCUGGGCACCAAAGCAGAGGACACAGCCGCGCCACGCACCGAAUGAGCACCAAAAGAAGCUUCAAUGUUCGCAAGACGAAGAAGCCAUCUAAUACAAUGAGUAAUCAUGUGACAGUACACAGGGUUAUGAGGACAAAUAUAAAAUACAAACAGAGGUCCCAAUGGAGCCUCAAGAGGGGAGAUAAGAGUGACAUAUCGCUGUAAGCAACGAGCAACACAAAAAGAACGUCUAUCUGGAAAGUAAGGAUAAAA